AGCAGUAGGGAAUCUUCGGCAAUGGGGGGAACCCUGACCGAGCAACGCCGCGUGAGUGAAGAAGGUUUUCGGAUCGUAAAGCUCUGUUGUUAGAGAAGAACGGUAAUGGGAGUGGAAAAUCCAUUACGUGACGGUAACUAACCAGAAAGGGACGGCUAACUACGUGCCAGCAGCCGCGGUAAUACGUAGGUCCCUAGCGUUGUCCGGAUUUAUUGGGCGUAAAGCGAGCGCAGGCGGUUUGAUAAGUCUGAAGUUAAAGGCUGUGGCUUAACCAUAGUUCGCUUUGGAAACUGUCAAACUUGAGUGCAGAAGGGGAGAGUGGAAUUCCAUGUGUAGCGGUGAAAUGCGUAGAUAUAUGGAGGAACACCGGUGGCGAAAGCGGCUCUCUG
rnacentral:rRNA from 1 species